AGCGAACGCUGGCGGCAUGCUUAACACAUGCAAGUCGCACGGGCAGCAAUGUCAGUGGCGGACGGGUGAGUAACGCGUAGGAAUCUGUCUCCGGGUGGGGGAUAACGGUUGGAAACGACUGCUAAUACCGCAUGAUACCUGAGGGUCAAAGGCGCAAGUCGCCUGGAGAGGAGCCUGCGUACGAUUAGCUUGUUGGCGGGGUAAAAGCCCACCAAGGCGACGAUCGUUAGCUGGUCUGAGAGGAUGAUCAGCCACACUGGGACUGAGACA
rnacentral:rRNA from 1 species